rnacentral:rRNA from 1 species
UACGGAGGGUGCGAGCGUUGUCCGGAAUCACUGGGCUUAAAGCGCGUGUAGGCGGGACGGCACGUCGGUCGCUGAAAUCCCCCGGCUUAACCGGGGAACGGGCGUCGAUACGACCGUCCUGGAGGGGCGUAGGGGGACCUGGAACUUCCGGUGGAGCGGUGAAAUGCGUUGAGAUCGGAAGGAACGCCCGUGGCGAAAGCGAGGUCCUGGACGCCUACUGACGCUGAGACGCGAAAGCCAGGGGAGCGAACGGG